rnacentral:rRNA from 1 species
UUGACGGGGAGCACCACAACAGGUGGAGCCUGCGGUUUAAUCGGACUCAACGCCGGGAAACUCACCAGAUAAGACAGCUGAAUGAUAGUCGGGCUGAAGACUCUACUUGACUAGCUGAGAGGAGGCGCAUGGCCGUCGUCAGUUCGUACUGUGAAGCAUCCUGUUAAGUCAGGCAACGAGCGAGACCCACGUCCACAGUUGCCAGCAUACCCUCCGGGGUGAUGGGUACACUGUGGAGACCGCCGCUGCUAAAGCGGAGGAAGGAAUGGGCAACGGUAGGUCAGUAUGCCCCGAAUCUCCCGGGCUACACGCGGGCUACAAUGGUUGGUACAAUGGGCAUCUACCCCGAAAGGGGAAGGAAAUCUCUUAAAGCCAAUCGUAGUUCGGAUUGAGGGCUGCAACUCGCCCUCAUGAAGCUGGAAUCCGUAGUAAUCGCGUUUCAACAGAACGCGGUGAAUACGUCCCUGCUCCUU